GACGUAGGGCGCGAGCGUUGUCCGGAUUUAUUGGGCGUAAAGAGCUCGUAGGCGGCUUGUCGCGUCAACUGUGAAAACCCGUGGCUCAACCAUGUGGUCUGCAGUCGAUACGGGCAGGCUAGAAUUCGGUAGGGGAGACUGGAAUUCCCGGUGUAGCGGUGAAAUGCGCAGAUAUCGGGAGGAACACCAGAGGCGAAAGCGGUUAACUGGGUCUAAACUGACGCUGAGGCGCGAAGGCUAGGGGAGCAAACAGG
rnacentral:rRNA from 1 species